rnacentral:rRNA from 1 species
UACGUAGGGUGCGAGCGUUAAUCGGAAUUACUGGGCGUAAAGCGUGCGUAGGCGGUUUGUUGCGUCGGCCGUGAAAACCUGCAGCUUAACUGUGGGCCUGCGGUCGAUACGGGCAGACUUGAGUUCGGUAGGGGAGAACGGAAUUCCCGGUGUAGCGGUGAAAUGCGCAGAUAUCAGGAGGAACACCGGUGGCGAAGGCGGGUCUCUGGGCCGAAAUUGACGCUGAGGAGCGAAAGCGUGGGGAGCAAACAGG